GAUCAAUGGCUUGCACCACCCUCCUGGGAGUUGUCAUUGUCCCUGGAGCUGAGGAAACAUGAGAGAGGUGCUGUGACCCACCUGAGAGGUGAAAAGAGAGAACCAGUUCCCCAAAGUUGUCUUCUGAACCCCACAUGAGUGCCUUGGUAUGCACAACCCCACAUACAGCAUCACAUACAUGCAGUGAUAAUAAACAAAAGAUGACCUUGCCCAGCCGGGACCUCUGCCUUUAGAGGUGAGGAGACAGAGGCUGGAAGAGCUCAUGGCUUUGACCC